AUGGUCGCCGGCGGCGUCGGCGCGGUGGCGAACUGGCACAACGGCGGAGGAGACGGCAGCGAGGCACGCAGGAGAGGGAGCUGCUCGGCGGUGCUUGAUUCCUGCGAGAUCGAGGGAGGAGCGGGUGGCAGUGCAAUCCGGCAGCGGAGCUCGCCGGAUCAAGGAUGCGGCAGGGAGCUCCUGGAGACUGGCGUCGCAGGGAAUCGGGCGCAGGGGUCGGAGACGGGACGCGCGCAGCAGGGAGCUCACCGGCCGGAGCUGAUGGUCAACGCAGUCGCAGGGUCGCAGGCACGAGGGCUCGGCGACGCUCCUGUUGCCGCUCACGACGACGAAGGGAGGACCAUGGGCGCGCGGAGGAGAAGCACUACCUCGCGGCUGUGA
rnacentral:rRNA from 1 species